CCUGAUGCUCAGCUCCGGCGGAUGCCGCGGGCACAAACGCGGGGUGGGGGGAAAGAGAAUAGGAAUGCAGGGGGUCGAAACCCCCUUACCCUCCCCAACCCCUUCAAAAAUACCCCCCCCAGUGCACCCUUUUGAGCAUCGUCCCAUCAGGAGAGAUAUCACUUAAGGGAACAUGCAGGACUCACUCGAGCUCCACUUCCUUGGAGUAAAUCACAGCCUUAUCUCAACCAGAGACCCUGUGCAGGAAUGUUCCAGCCUUUGGGCUGCCCACCCCUGAUCCCAGAAUCAGCAUCUGCUCCAGACCCAAGCUCUGACCCUUCAGAGACAUAUUUUUGCAAGGUUUCUGGCCAGCAACACCAAUGCCUGUCACAGCCAGCUGCUAAUUCAGAGAUGUCAUGCACAGGGCCCUUAACCAUGCAUGAGCUGUGUGCAUGCAGGAGGAGGGAGGACAUCCCCUACCAUGCUGUGGGGCUGAGCUAUGGGUUGGAGACAGAGCAACCCUCAUCUCAGCGGAGGAAGAUCCUUGGAAACGGUGACUUAUUCCAAAAUCCACCUUUUCCAGCCUUGUUCUACCUCACAGACUUUUCAUGAGAUUGCACUGCUGUUUGCCACUGCCUUUCGAGUCUGUGGUCAGUGCGCAUGACAGAAAUGCAGUAUUUUACCAAGACAUCCAUUGCCCUGCAAUAUCAAGCCUUGGCCACAAAUGUCUUUUCUGAAUUCAUACCUAUAUCUACCAAGACAGCAGUAUCUAAUAAGCAAAUAAUGGUAAUUUGGUUUCCGGGCACAGCACGUGAGACUCUUUUUACCCUGUUUCUUGUUUGGCUGCUAUUGGGUUUUGUUUGUUUUCUGGGUUUUCUUUUUUCAGUUCUUUCCUAUGAAAUUCUUCAUGUUGGAAAGGAGAUAGUAAAUCACAGAGCUCGUAACA